rnacentral:rRNA from 1 species
GACGAACGCUGGCGGCGUGCUUAACACAUGCAAGUCGAACGGUGAGGGGAUCAGCUUGCUGGUUCUGGAUGAGUGGCGAACGGGUGAGUAACACGUGAGUAACCUGCCCCCUUCUUCUGGAUAACCGCAUGAAAGUGUGGCUAAUACGGGAUAUUCUGCGCCUGCUGCAUGGUGGGUGUGGGAAAGAUAUUGUUUCGGUGGGGGAUGGGCUCGCGGCCUAUCAGCUUGUUGGUGGGGUGAUGGCCUACCAAGGCGGUGACGGGUAGCCGGCCUGAGAGGGUGGACGGUCACACUGGGACUGAGACACGGCCCAGACUCCUACGGGAGGCAGCAGUGGGGAAUAUUGCACAAUGGGCGCAAGCCUGAUGCAGCGACGCCGCGUGAGGGAUGGAGGCCUUCGGGUUGUGAACCUCUUUCGCCAGUGAAGCAGGCCUGUCCCUUGUGGGUGGGUUGACGGUAGCUGGAUAAGAAGCGCCGGCUAACUACGUG